GGUGAUAUAGCCAAGGGGUUAAGGCAAAGGUCUGCAAAACCUUUAUCCUCGGUUCAAAUCCGAGUAUCACCU
rnacentral:tRNA from 2 species